AUGUGUGAAAUCAGUUUGGCGUAUUUGAGGAGGGCUUUCGAGAUCAUUGACACGAGGAACUGUUGUGAAGAAGGCUGUGAGAAUGAAAGGGAGCUUCUCGGCGCUCAUAGCUUGAACUUCGAAGAUCUGCGGUGUUCGAUUUCUUUGUGUUGCAGAUAUCUUUGGUUUGCAGCAGGACUAAGAGUAGUGAAACUGAUUUUGGGCAAUGAUUCGUUAUACGGUAGCCAUUUUACAAAAAACAAUGUUGAAUCAUAUAACAGGAAUCUGUAG